GCUCAUUAACUGUUGAGUCAUAUCUAGUCUGUGAAUCAUCUUUUUGAGGAUAAAUGACUAAGCUGCCCUUUGUAGGACAAGGAGAUAGGACCGCUGAGAUACUUAUCCUGAUACACAUUUGAUGUAUGUGGCCUAUUUGAUGAGCCAGACAAGGAAGGUUAUCUCUACUUCAUUAUUUUUACUAAUGAUCAGUCAUGGUAUGGGUAUGUGUAUGAGAUACAAAUUUGAAGUCUUUGAAAGGUUCAAAUAAUUCAGAUGUGAAGUAGAGAAGUAAACUGAAAAAAUUCUAAAGGUACUUCGAUCAGAUCGAGGAUGCAAUAUCAAAUAGAAAAUUUUUCGAUUAUCUCAAGAAAAUGAUAUAGUUUCAUGAUGAAAUCCUUCUUGUACAUCUCGGUUCAACAAGAUAUUUGAGAGGAGGAAUGGCAUUAUAUGAGAUAUGGUCUGGACCAUCAUGAACAUCACUGAUUUAACCUUUGUUUCUUUAGGGACAUGCUUUGCUUUUUGAAAUUUGAAUAAGGUUCUCUCUAAAUUUGUUUCUACCAUACUGUAUGAGAUAUGACAUGAUG
rnacentral:lncRNA from 1 species